UACGAAGGGGGCUAGCGUUGCUCGGAAUCACUGGGCGUAAAGGGUGCGUAGGCGGGUCUUUAAGUCAGGGGUGAAAUCCUGGAGCUCAACUCCAGAACUGCCUUUGAUACUGAAGAUCUUGAGUUCGGGAGAGGUGAGUGGAACUGCGAGUGUAGAGGUGAAAUUCGUAGAUAUUCGCAAGAACACCAGUGGCGAAGGCGGCUCACUGGCCCGAUACUGACGCUGAGGAGCGAAAGCGUGGGGAGCAAACAGG
rnacentral:rRNA from 1 species